rnacentral:lncRNA from 1 species
CUGGGUUUAGGUGCAUAUGCUUAUACCAUGUGUGUGAUACAGGUUGUGCUGAGGUGGAGAGCAACCACUAGGGGUGGAGACAGCAGAGUUGCUACAACUAAGGGUUAACAGACUGAGGGCUGUGGGGCCAAUGUCCUCAGAACUCCUGAUUUGUCAAGAACAGCUAAAAAUCUGGAUUUUUAUGGGAUACUGUCCAGUAUUUAAAUCCUGAUUCAAUAAGACAAAACAAACCACCACCACUAUUUGGGCCCAAAAAAGUAAGACCAGUGGCCAAAUUCAGCCUGCAAGCUGCCAUUUGUAAGUCUGGUCUUCCAGUUGCACAACUGAAAACAGCAGGAAAUACUGAAUUUGAACCAGAGGGAGUGAUCUGAAACUAGGUUGCAAAGGGAUUUAAAGGUAAAGGUCUUAGAAAAUACCCCGUCAGCAGUGAAAAGCCAUUUGAUGUUUCUAAGCAGAUAAAUGGUAUAUCUGAUCUAUGUUUUAGAAAGAAUUCUAGAAGAGUAUGAAACAGGAGUUGGCAUACUUUCUUUGUAAAUGGUAAGGCAGUAAAUAUUUUAGGCUUUGCAGGCCAAAUGGCCUCUGUCACAAUUCUUCCAUUUCUGCUGUUCUGGUGUAAAAGAAAUCAUAGACAAUACAUAAAUGAGCACAGUUAUAUUCUAACAAAACUUUCUUUACAAAAACAGGUGGAGAGCUGGAUUUGGUUUGCUGACUCCUGGGACAGAAGACAGACUGAAGGAUGUCUGAGGAAAUGAAUGAGUAAAAGCCACCAUUUUUGUUUUGUGGAGAGCUGGAUUUGGUUUGCUGACUCCUGGGACAGAAGACAGACUGAAGGAUGUCUGAGGAAAUGAAUGAGUAAAAGUCACCAUUUUUGUUUUGCUACAAUUCAGACAUAGUAGUCAGCAAGCUUCAACCACAUAGAAAAAAAAACCCUAGAAGACUGCAACAACAAAAAAGAGGUGGGGUGGAAACCUUGAUCCCUGGAUAAUCCUGUGGAGCGAAGAAGCCCUGAGCUGAAAACCAAUUUAAACUUGGGAGAAAAUUAACUUUCUAUCAAAGUUAAAUCACUGUUAUUUGGUUUCUUUAAAACAGUUGAAUCAAUAAUGUGUGGUCCACUGAUCAUCAUGCAUGUUAUUUUGAAAUACGAACGACCCUUUAUCUACCUGGUAUAUAUUUUCGAACUCCUCCUAGAACCCAUCCUUGACCUACUUGUUCCAUUGCUACUCCAAACAAUCAUUGCUACUUUUCUGUAACUUCUAUAUCAUGUAUAUAUAUAAACACAUACCUUUUUUUUUUUUUUUUGAGAUGAAGUCU